GGAAAACAUCAUCACAUUUUGCCAUUCAUUGUGAAAUUGGUGAACAAUCAAUUAAUCAUUUUUCUACAAUUGAUCACCAUCUUUCAAUAACUAAUUACAACAUUUGCUAAUACAAAAAACACAAGGACUGAGAAUACUCAUAGUCCAUUUUUUCGCAAGCUAUCUAAUGUACUUCCACAACCUAGCAUUGUUGCUAUAAUAAACUAUUCACAAUCAAGCUCUAAACUAUCUAGCUGAGGGAUCACAAAGGAUCCAUAACUGAGCAUGCGUAUACUAUUUCCACAAUCUCCACCAACUUUGCUAGAUUAUCAACCAUAGUUGGGGAAAUUAGUAUCACCUAUAUAGUUUAACAAACUAAAGAAAAAAAUGAGAAUGAUUUUAAGCUAAAAUCACUUGCUCUUCUUACGCCCACCAUUUUCUAUGAUUCUUUCC
rnacentral:lncRNA from 1 species